rnacentral:lncRNA from 1 species
AUGUCCACUAUCCAGAACCUCCACUAUUUAAACUCCUUUGCUGAUGCAAGUAAGGGUGAUGACCUGCUUCCUGCUGGCACUGAGGAUUAUAUCCAUAUAAGAAUUCAACAGAGAAACGGCAGGAAGGCCCUUACUACUGUCCAAGGGAUCGCUGAUGAUUACACCAAAAAGAAACCAGUGAAGGCGUUUAAGAAGUUUGCCUGCAAUGGUACUGUAAUUGAGCAUCCAGAAUAUGGAGAAGUAAUUCAGCUACAGGGUGACAGGUGCAAGAACAUAUAUUAUGCCAGUUCCUCGUAGAGCUUGGACUGGCUAAGGACGAUCAGCUGAAGAUUCAUGG